GAUGAAGAACGUAGCGAAAUGCGAUACUUGGUGUGAAUUGCAGAAUCCCGUGAACCAUCGAGUCUUUGAACGCAAGUUGCGCCCGAAGCCAUCAGGUUGAUGGCACGUCUGCCUGGGCGUCACAUAUCGUUGCCCAAUGCCUAUUGCAGUGCAAUAGGAAUUUCUAGGGCGAAUGAUGGCUUCCCGUGAGCGUUGUUGCCUCGCGGUUGGUUGAAAAUCGAGUCCUUGGUAGGGUGUGCCAUGGUAGAUGGUGGUCGAGUUAGAACGAUACCGAUCAUGUGCAUGCUCCCCAAAAUAUGGCCUCUAUGACCCACACGCGUCUUUUGACGCUCAUGACGAGACCUCAGGUCAGGCGGGGCUACCCGCUGAAUUUAAGCAUAUCAAUAAGCGGAGGA
rnacentral:misc_RNA from 1 species